GACGAACGCUGGCGGCGUGCUUAACACAUGCAAGUCGAACGGAAAGGCCCUGCUUUUGUGGGGUGCUCGAGUGGCGAACGGGUGAGUAACACGUGAGUAACCUGCCCUUGACUUUGGGAUAACUUCAGGAAACUGGGGCUAAUACCGGAUAGGAGCUCCUGCUGCAUGGUGGGGGCUGGAAAGUUUCGGCGGUUGGGGAUGGACUCGCGGCUUAUCAGCUUGUUGGUGGGGUAGUGGCUUACCAAGGCUUUGACGGGUAGCCGGCCUGAGAGGGUGACCGGCCACAUUGGGACUGAGAUACGGCCCAGACUCCUACGGGAGGCAGCAGUGGGGAAUAUUGCACAAUGGGCGGAAGCCUGAUGCAGCAACGCCGCGUGCGGGAUGACGGCCUUCGGGUUGUAAUCCGCUUUCGCCUGUGACGAAGCGUGAGUGACGGUAAUGGGUAAAGAAGCACCGGCUAACUACGUG
rnacentral:rRNA from 1 species